GCAAGCGACCGGCUUGGGAGAGCCGCCGCUUGCGGCGAAACGGACCGGCUUGGGAGAGCCCGUCGGUUUCUGAAUCAGGGGAGAUUGACCGAUGGAGAACACGCUUCUCGUCGGAUUGUCGCGGCAGAUUUCGCUCG
rfam:Afipia sp. P52-10 contig000007, whole genome shotgun sequence.